GGGGGCCGGGGGGGGGCAGGACGGAAAGGCGGGCGGGGAGGCCCCGCUCCGCCGGGGCGCGCAGGUAACAAGUUUCGGAGUUGGGGUUGCCGAGGCCGGGCGGGCGGCGGAGGCUGCCCCGCCGCUCCCCACGGGGCUCGGCGUCCCCGCCCGGGACGGAGGGCGGCGGCGCGGCCGGGGGGCCCCCCGAGUCCGCUCCCCGCAGCGGCGGCGGGGCGGUCGCGGGGCGUGUGGGGGAAGGCAGCGUGUAACGGUCCCGGACAGGCGGCGGAGUGCGGAGGCACCGCUAGGCGGAGGAGGGAGGCAGGCGGCGAGGCGAGGGAGGCACCAGUGCUCGGCCGGAACCUUGUUGCCAGGGGAGACGGGCGCUUUACGGCAGGACGUUUGAACGGCGGCGGGGGAAAAGUUGCGGCCGCAGGUCUGAGCAAGGAGCGAACAGCGGGACGGGAGCGAUUCUGUUGCCGCCGUGUGUGAAGUCUGUCAUUCUUGGGCUUUGCUUAAUCGCACUUCCUGCAUUUGUGAAGAGGAGAAGAGGUAUAAAAUUCUAUGCCCUGAAAAAUAAAAAGGGAAGGGGGCCAUUUUUCAGGGAUAAUUAAUAAGCAGCCUCAUUUGGGCUUAACGUUUAUUAAAUGUAUUAAAAAUUAAAACAUUACUAUCAAACACUCA